AGAACGAACGCUGGCGGCAUGCCUAAUACAUGCAAGUCGAACGAACUCUUCGGAGUUAGUGGCGCACGGGUGCGUAACGCGUGGGAAUCUGCCCCUUGGUUCGGAAUAACAGUUGGAAACGACUGCUAAUACCGGAUGAUGACGAAAGUCCAAAGAUUUAUCGCCAAGGGAUGAGCCCGCGUAGGAUUAGCUAGUUGGUGAGGUAAAGGCUCACCAAGGCAACGAUCCUUAGCUGGUCUGAGAGGAUGAUCAGCCACACUGGGACUGAGACACGGCCCAGACUCCGUACGGGAGGCAGCAGUAGGGAAUAUUGGACAAGUGGGCGAAAG
rnacentral:rRNA from 1 species